GAUGAACGCUGACAGAAUGCUUAACACAUGCAAGUCAACUUGAAUUUGGGUUUUUAACUUAGAUUUAGGUGGCGGACGGGUGAGUAACGCGUAAAGAACUUGCCUCACAGCUAGGGACAACAUUUAGAAAUGAAUGCUAAUACCUGAUAUUAUGAUUUUAAGGCAUCUUAGAAUUAUGAAAGCUAUAAGCACUGUGAGAGAGCUUUGCGUCCCAUUAGCUAGUUGGAGAGGUAACAGCUCACCAAGGCGAUGAUGGGUAGCCGGCCUGAGAGGGUGAACGGCCACAAGGGGACUGAGACACGGCCCUUACUCCUACGGGAGGCAGCAGUGGGGAAUAUUGGACAAUGGACCGAGAGUCUGAUCCAGCAAUUCUGUGUGCACGAUGAAUUUUUUCGGAAUGUAAAGUGCUUUCAGUUGGGAAGAAAAAAAUGACGGUACCAACAGAAGAAGUGACGGCUAAAUACGUGCCAGCAGCCGCGGUAAUACGUAUGUCACGAGCGUUAUCCGGAUUUAUUGGGCGUAAAGCGCGUCUAGGUGGUUAUGUAAGUCUGAUGUGAAAAUGCAGGGCUCAACUCUGUAUUGCGUUGGAAACUGUAUAACUAGAGUACUGGAGAGGUAAGCGGAACUACAAGUGUAGAGGUGAAAUUCGUAGAUAUUUGUAGGAAUGCCGAUGGAGAAGCCAGCUUACUGGACAGAUACUGACGCUAAAGCGCGAAAGCGUG
rnacentral:rRNA from 1 species